GGAUUAGGUCCUAUGUGAGAAGUGUCAUCUACAAAAUCUCACUUUCUCAACCUUGCCUUGUUAUAGCAACCAGACCCUCUACAUACACAAGGGAAAACCUUGGCUGAAAGAAGCUCUUUUGAGUUAUUUUAAAAGAUGGCUGCCCAAAACAUUUUUUAAAUUUAAUUUAAAAAGCAUUUUUGGCAUUGUUGGAUGGCAAUAAACCCUGUUAGAUACAUUUUGUACUCCAGGCUAUACGGUGCUGGUUUUCCACCCUGUUACAGCUCACUUGACAGCUGAUACUUAAUUUUGUUUUAGUUAAUCCAGUAAAACUGGACUUUGAUCCCCACUGGUGUGUAAGCACGGCAAGAGCUUUGCUGAUAUAGUACUUAUUAGAUUUCUGUUGUUGCCAAUCUAAGCAAAUUCUGUUCUCAGAUCUCAGCCUUAGAGGUGGUGAGGAAGGCUCUGCUUGGUUUUAUCACUUCUUGUAAAACUAUGUGGACUACAUUAAAAAUAUAAGUAGAUAGCUGUUCAGAGCUGUAUAUUUUAUUUUAUAUUAUAUAAUAGGUCAGGCAACCUUUGACAGGAGACAAAUUUGAGAGGAUUUUGAACACAAUACAGGAUUCCUUUUCAAGGACUUGACCUACCAAGGCCCAAUAAGACUGACGCAUGACUUCUGGGAAUAAAUCAGUCAUGUGAUGAAAGAGGCUGUUGUCUGUAAGGCUCCUGCCUCGUUUGUUACACAAGCUUGGGAAAGGCAAGUCUGGGCCUGCCCAAAAUUAAAGGCCCUUGUCCACAACUAAGAGAAGGCAGUUCUGGGUCACUAUAAACCACGGGUCACAGAUUCCUGAAGGGAAGAACCACAGGAACCCAAACCCACUCAGACCUGCUGGGAAGGCACAGCUGAUCCACAGGGUACUACAGCCCAGUACCUGGUCUGAAGAAAGGAGAAUUGUGUGAUUCUACCCUAAAGACAGGUAAGGGAACAAGACCUGAUACCAUUAAGAGUGCACUUGAACAAAUCAGAGAUUCAGCUAGCCCUGUAACCGUGAAUAUACAUACAUACUACCUAUAUGGUCCACUGCCUGGAGGGUUUGGCCAUUCAUUGUGAUAGUAGGCUCUACAUAAGGCUUUC